AUAUAUAUAUGUAUAUAUAUAUAUAUAUAUAUAUAUAUAUGUAUAUAUAUAUAUAUAUAUAUAUGUAUAUAUAUAUAUAUAUAUAUAUGUAUAUAUAUAUAUAUAUAUAUGUAUAUAUAUAUGUAUAUAUGUAUAUAUAUAUAUACACACACUAGCAAAAAUGCCCGUGCGUUGUAACGGGUAAAAAAUUC
rnacentral:snRNA from 1 species